UACGGAGGGUGCGAGCGUUAUCCGGAUUCACUGGGUUUAAAGGGUGUGUAGGCGGGUAUUUAAGUCAGUGGUGAAAUCUCCGGGCUCAACCCGGAAACUGCCAUUGAUACUAUUUAUCUUGAAUAUUGUUGAGGUAGGCGGAAUAUAUCAUGUAGCGGUGAAAUGCUUAGAUAUGAUAUAGAACACCGAUUGCGAAGGCAGCUUACUAAACAAUUAUUGACGCUGAGGCACGAAAGCGUGGGGAUCAAACAGG
rnacentral:rRNA from 1 species